UCCGAGGUCCAUCGCCGGCCGACCCUCCACCAGAUUCCUCAUGAAAUCGGACUUUUUCGGCGGAUAAUCUUCAGACGAGCUUCGACAUUGGACAAAUCCCAGACGGACUUCCCUAGCAGCCGGAUCCCUACCGGACUUUACCAACAGAAAGUCUCCAUCCGAGCUUCCACAGCAGAUGACUUCUGCCUGUAGCAUCAGCACCUAAGGCAUCCGAUAACAGUAGACUCGUCAGCAGCCUCGAAAAUAUCCGAACUUCCCCU
rnacentral:lncRNA from 1 species